GGCAUGUGCAUAUCAUGGCAAUCUCGAAAUAGGCAGAGAAUUAAGUUGCAGAGAGGCUUUGAGACGGGACCAGAACAUGAAUAAACAUGGAGGAUAUUGAAGCAAUAUGAUUGAACAUAAUUAUAGGCCUCUUCCAUCAACCUAUGCUGGCUAGUAGACACCAUCAACUUAGUCCUCAACACCAUAUCAUGAAUUUAGUACUUUUUUUUUUUUACAAUGGCCAUUUAAAAGCUUAGUUGGGCUUCAAGCAGUCUCUUGGUGCAUAGAUAAGGAGAUUUGGACAAGGUUUCAUCAAUGGUGGAUCCUCUUGAAAGAGAGAGGGGGCGGGUAGCAGCAGGUUUCAUCAAUUUAGAUUUUCCUUUGAUUCAAUGGUAUUAUGAUGUAUGAAUUCAAAGGACUCAACUCAGGUCUGUAUUAGCAAUCGGAUCUAUAAUUUUUCUUCUGAAAUUCAGAACUAAACUCACUGUCUGUGUAAUGUUUCAUGAACAAGAACAUGCAGCACUUUGAAGACAGAGAGAUUUCAUUUGCAUAGAAAUCACUUAAAAGAGUUAGAUAGUGGAUGAAAAGCAGUCAGGAAGAUUCAGGACUAUUUACAAGCAGAUGAGAAAAACUAGAUCCAGAACCCUACACACAAGAUUCAUCUAUGAUAAACUCAGAUGCAAAUAGAGAGAUAGAUCUAGUAGAAGCAGGUGAAGUAAGCAAACCAAGCAUACUUGUAACGAGAGAGGAGCAGAGGUGAGGUGAUGAGGAGAGGGAGGAAUGAUCGGAAACCUAUGGGAUGGGUGGAGUUGGGAAAAUAACAAACACAGCUUAGUUAUCUUCCCCACUCACCCAUCCAGUAACCUUCCGAAAACCCUACUCCCUCUCCAUUUCCUCCCAUCCAACAUCAACUUCAAGGCGGCUGACUGCCGAAGCAGUUGCGAACCCUUACCUACCCCUUGCCUUCCAGCCUUUAUAUACUGUGUCAACUUCAACCUAACUUAGUUGGUUACGGGCAUCUGUCUGUUCUGUUGAGUGGACGAGAAAGAUCCUGGCCGUUCAUUCCAACAUUUCAGUCAGUUAAUGGAACAUCGACGACCUUUGCUAGGCAGUGCCGUAUCAGGAUCGCUAUUCCAGGAUGGACUAUGGAUGCUAUCGGUCAAGAUCCUGGCCCGCUCCCCAGUUCUUGGUUACAAAAGGCCCUUUAUGGGCUAAUCUUUGUGACUAGUUUGGGCUUAGUCUCGUUUCAUGUAUGUUGAUGUUGAUUGAGGAUACCUGCAGUGGCCCAGCCCAUUAUAAUAUAUAUGUGCUGUUGCAAGUUCAUGUUGGCCUCAGAGUAAGAGCGGGCCCCCCUCUGGGUUUGUUUUGAGUCUAGUGAUUGUUACCUAGCAGAAACAUGUGUGUGUGUGAGUGUGUUUUUUAAUGGCAAAAGGUCAAAGUAAGGUCAAAGAACUGGGGAGAAGAAACAAUGUGUUCAGCAAUGUUCUUCCUAACCUAGUUCAAUUGUUCACUAUAUUGUUUAAUUAUAUGAAUAAUGCAGUCUUUUUUC